AUUGAACGCUGGCGGCAGGCCUAACACAUGCAAGUCGAACGGUAACAGGAAACAGCUUGCUGUUUCGCUGACGAGUGGCGGACGGGUGAGUAAUGUCUGGGAAACUGCCUGAUGGAGGGGGAUAACUACUGGAAACGGUAACUAAUACCGCAUAAUGUCGCAAGACCAAAGUGGGGGACCUUCGGGCCUCACACCAUCGGAUGUGCCCAGAUGGGAUUAGCUAGUAGGUGGGGUAAUGGCUCACCUAGGCGACGAUCCCUAGCUGGUCUGAGAGGAUGACCAGCCACACUGGAACUGAGACACGGUCCAGACUCCUACGGGAGGCAGCAGUGGGGAAUAUUGCACAAUGGGCGCAAGCCUGAUGCAGCCAUGCCGCGUGUGUGAAGAAGGCCUUAGGGUUGUAAAGCACUUUCAGCGAGGAGGAAGGGUGGUGUGUUAAUAGCACAUCACAUUGACGUUACUCGCAGAAGAAGCACCGGCUAACUCCGUGCCAGCCGCCGCCGUAA
rnacentral:rRNA from 1 species